GAUGAACGCUAGCGGGAGGUCUAACACAUGCAAGCCGAGCGGUAUUGUUUCUUCGGAAAUGAGAGAGCGGCGUACGGGUGCGUAACACGUGUGCAACCUGCCUUUAUCUGGGGGAUAGCCUUUCGAAAGGAAGAUUAAUACUCCAUAAUAUAUUGAACGGCAUCGUUUAAUAUUGAAAGCUCCGGCGGAUAGAGAUGGGCACGCGCAAGAUUAGCUAGUUGGUGAGGUAACGGCUCACCAAGGCGAUGAUCUUUAGGGGGCCUGAGAGGGUGAUCCCCCACACUGGUACUGAGACACGGACCAGACUCCUACGGGAGGCAGCAGUGAGGAAUAUUGGUCAAUGGGUGCAAGCCUGAACCAGCCAUCCCGCGUGAAGGACGACUGCCCUAUGGGUUGUAAACUUCUUUUGUAUAGGGAUAAACCUACCCUCGAGAGGGUAGCUGAAGGUACUAUACGAAUAAGCACCGGCUAACUCCGUG
rnacentral:rRNA from 1 species